rnacentral:lncRNA from 1 species
AGAGUGAGAGAGCGAGAUAGUGUGGAAGUGGGAGGCCGUGCCAAGCUCCCGAAGCCAUGUGGAAAACAGAAUUUCUUCAGACCACCCCAUGAUUUCUCCAACAUGUCUCCAGCAUGAACGCUCUCAUCACAACUUUUUGUGGCAUCUACAAGAUUUGUGCCAGCGCUCACUGAGGAGCUUUUUUAUCUGGAUCAUAAGGAAAUGGAAGUGGAAGAUAAAACCAGAAGGAUGUUCCUGGGUAGGUAAGAUGAUAGCUUUCUCCUCUCAUCAUACUCAUAAAUGUGUCCUAGAAAGAAGCUACCCUAAAAAUACUGUCAGGGAGGG